AACAUUACAAGCUACCCGGGUUGCUGUGAACAUGUUUGAGCAUCUUCUAAUUGGCUCAGUCCCACCGACUUAAAUGAGUUCUCGUCUCAUCCACAACCUUUCUCCUCUUGUGAUGGAGACUUCUUUUCUAAAUUUUGCCAUCAUGCAGAAUAUGUGGUUGGACUUGUAAGCAAAAUGCUUGUUUUUGGUCCACUGUGGUUGAUAGUGUAUAACUGUGCUAUUAUUAGAUUAA
rnacentral:misc_RNA from 1 species